rnacentral:rRNA from 1 species
ACCCUGAUCUAGCAUGCCGCGUGAGUGAUGAAGGCCCUAGGGUCGUAAAGCUCUUUCGCCAGGGAUGAUAAUGACAGUACCUGGUAAAGAAACCCCGGCUAACUCCGUGCCAGCAGCCGCGGUAAUACGGAGGGGGUUAGCGUUGUUCGGAAUUACUGGGCGUAAAGCGCGCGUAGGCGGAUCAGAAAGUUGGGGGUGAAAUCCCGGGGCUCAACCCCGGAACUGCCUCCAAAACUCCUGGUCUUGAGUUCGAGAGAGGUGAGUGGAAUUCCGAGUGUAGAGGUGAAAUUCGUAGAUAUUCGGAGGAACACCAGUGGCGAAGGCGGCUCACUGGCUCGAUACUGACGCUGAGGUGCGAAAGUGUGGGGAGCAAACAGGAUUAGAUACCCCGGUAGUCAA